GGUGAACGCUGGCGGCGUGCUUAAGACAUGCAAGUCGAACGCAGUCUUCGGACUGAGUGGCGCACGGGUGAGUAACACGUAACUGACCUACCCCCAAGUCGCGGAUAACUGGCCGAAAGGUCAGCUAAUACGUGAUGUGAUGUCCCCUUUCUGGGGGGCCAUUAAAGGUUUACUGCUUGGGGAUGGGGUUGCGUUCCAUCAGCUAGUUGGCGGGGUAAAGGCCCACCAAGGCAACGACGGAUAGCCGGCCUGAGAGGGUGGCCGGCCACAGGGGCACUGAGACACGGGUCCCACUCCUACGGGAGGCAGCAGUUAGGAAUCUUCCACAAUGGGCGAAAGCCUGAUGGAGCGACGCCGCGUGAGGGAUGAAGGUUCUCGGAUCGUAAACCUCUGAAUCAGGGACGAAAGACGCGUAAGCGGGAUGACGGUACCUGAGUAAUAGCACCGGCUAACUCCGUGCCAGCAGCCGCCGCGG
rnacentral:rRNA from 1 species